CUCAUAAAAACCCAAGGCACGGGUUCAUUUCUGGAGCUGGCAGAGGUUUAGGCAGGUUUUCCACUCGCACUUAGUUCACUGCUGCUCCGUGGCUGCUGACUUUCCAAAUGCAGAGCUGUGCUGCCUUUGCAGAGCAGCUCCUAAAGAGAAACUUUCAUGCCACAGCCACAUCCAUUGAGAUGCUUCAAAGCCAGGCUGCGUGUCAGUAUUUCCACUUUACUUUGUGGUGAAGCAGAAUGUUGUCGGCUAAACUCAAAUUUACCUGAGUGUGUGCUAAUUGUGGAGGAGCAGCUUUGAAAAGGGAAAAUAGGCAAUUAAAUAUUAAUUGUUGCUUUUCGGAAGGAAGGAACUUAAUAGCUGUUUUUUUCUGUAGCUGCUGUUUAGAUCAAAGCAUUUAAUUUUUGCUGUUGAAAAUGACAAGUUAAUUGAAGGAUGAGCAUGUGAGGUAAUACAUGUUGUUUCUGUACCUUAUAGGCUUCUAAGAUUUCUGUUAGUUACUGUAGUUUUUUUAAGUUUUAUAAUUGAGAGAGAACAUUUUUCUGUUACAAAAUCUUAAGUAAUUUUGAAGGAUUGAUUGAUCUUAGUAGAAAAUGCAUUUCUAAAUCCAUACACAUAAUAUUUAUUAAGGAGAUUUUAAUGCAAAAGUGUAUUUAUAUUAUAUGUUUCUAUAGGUUUCUAGUAUUUGGCAACAAACUUGAGGAACCAACACUGUGACUCAGUGAUUUCCCACCCAUGACUUCAGCCCCACUUUAAUAUAUUAACACUUAGUGGCCAUAUUCAAAAACCCAACGUAUUUUGUACAAAAAGGAGGAAAGAUACGCAGACAUUUGAUUAAUUUCCUACUUUUCAGAUUCCUUUCUUCACCCUUAACCAUUUUUUACAGAUGUUUGAGAUUCACCCCUUGGCAUAGGAAGCCCAAGUAAAUAGAAGUUGUGCAACGGGUGAGAGGAUCUGGAGUUAAAAUGUGUCUCAAGGUGCAGUGGUGCACAAACACUUCUCUACUCUUUUAAAGAUAGCAUUUUGAUAUUAUUGUAGGGAGAUUAGCUGUAAUACCCCCAUCUCUGGCAUUCAGAGCAUCCCAAAAAGGUGGAUGAUGGGGAAAUGAGAGCUUUAUGUAGCCCCACAGAAGAAACAGAAGUAGCAGCACUGGAGGUGAGCUGGUUGUUCAGGUGAAUGUCAGGGACACUGUAAGGUGCAAAGCUGGCUCCAGUAAGCAAAACAGUACAGUUAAACCAGAAAAUAUCAUUCUCAUUCUUUCCAGUGCCAAAAUGAAAACUGAUCAGGUAUUAUUCUUGUAUUGUAGUCCCAUUUUAUAUCUUUCCAGAAUCAUUGUGUUGAUGCACUGGAAACACUGACAUAAUACUGGGAAAUUAUUCAACCCAAUGCAUUUAUUAUUUGAUCUCAAGGGUUUGUUCUUCUAAUACAAUGACACAAAACACAUACAUACUUUUUUUGUUGCUGAGGGUUUUUUGUCCCCAAAUUAUUUGAAAUGCAUUGAGAGUGUCAUGGAUGUCAGUGUAAUAAAUUUGAACCACAGGCAGAUUGCUGAGAUGAAGUUAACAUGAUACAGGCUUUUCCUCAGGAGAUGCUUUCUCUGAGAAUCUGAGUCCCCAAAGGAGUCAGUUUGUUACAAAUGAGGUAAUACUUGAUGUAGAUGUGAAGAGGUGUCACUCCUGUUGUCACAUGCAGCUCAUCCAUCAGUGUGGAACAAGGGAGGCAACAGCUGUACAUAAUGCUCAGUUAACCCAGAGUCACAGGUCAGCAGAGCCUGACAGCUGACAGUGCAGAGCCAGCUGUGGGGGAUCUUGGUGUGCAGAGUAAGAGCUUUUCUCUGGUGACAUUUCAAUGACUUAGAACGAAGAACCACAGGCUUCAGAUAAGACAAGCUUUUACAACUCACUGUCAGCCGUGCCUGUCAUGCCUUUGAUAGUUUAAAUCAUAAAUUAACGCUGCUGCUUGCUUUCAGUGAGAUUUCUCCCCUUUGUUUAGACCUCUCCUGAUGCUAAAGCUAAAUAGCAAAAAUCUGAGACAGAUUCAACAGGAAAAUUAAGCAAUCAGGCGUAUUUGUAGUAUUAACGUUCUUAGUUCAAAAGGAAAGUUUCACAGUGAGUUCCCCACCACAAUUUAGGGGAGCCAGCAAUAUCCAAACCCAGUGUGAAACAUGAUUUAGUGGUCUAAAAGUUCGGGUAUUUAUCUGAAGUUUUCUAGGUUUAAAAAGGAACCUGUUAAUGAAAGACGCCUUGUCUUUUUGAGAUAUUUAUUAACAUACCUUGGAGUAUUUCUGGUCUAGUGAAAUGAAAACUAGGUCUUUCCAAGUGCUUCAAUAUUCCAAAGCAUACAAAGAUAGAGAGGUUUUUAAUCCUUUUUUUUUCCUCUCUAAAUAAAGGCCUUUUCAAACUACUGAAGGGUGAAGUUGGUUUCAGGAAUCCAAAGCAGCAGAUUGCUGGACUUGGGAGUCUUGUGUCUCGCUGAACCAGAUUUCACCACACACCUCUUACUGCUGCGUGCUUCUCUUUCUUCUGGUGUUAUUUGUUGGCCUUACUUAUUAAAUUCCAUGUUCCUUGCAGUGGGCACGGCAUUUCACUGUGUGCAAGUAAGAGGCCUGCAAGAUUUCCCCUUUUCUUAAAGCACAGCGAUAAUUUUAUUCCUCAGCGCAUUUGUGUGUCUAUAAGAUUAUAAAUAACUACAAAUAAGCCAAAUUAAAUGAGUUGGAUUUUAGAUUUCUUUGGUAGUCAUCUCAUGCUUUGUCUGAAUUUGCUGUGAUUCACCAGAAGCAAUGACCUAUUAGAUGAGUAAUUGCAGCUUUUGCCUCCUUCUCCCUUUACAUCUGUCUUUACGUUAAAAAAGAGUUUUUUGUACGUAGCCAAAAGUGUGCACUCAGGAAAUAGUAAGGCUAAACUAUUUGCUCUGUGCAAACAGUGUAUCAAAUGUGCAAGAAGCAGCACACCAGUUAACUAUAAUUUUAUUGACUAUAUUUCCGCUGUUUUGCUUGGAGACACCUUAUUAAAACGCUCUACCCUGGACUAAAGGAACUUACUUUGGCCAGUACUUUGUUUUGAAGCAGAAAACAUUAGCAUUAGUAAGGUGAUGCUUAUAUUUCCUGAUACACUUAUUUCCAAAAAUAAUAAUUUACCUGGUCAGUUAUGUAUUCUAAAAGGUUCUUCAUAAAAUGAAAUCAGUAAAGCAGUAGUUGCUGGCUCCCUUUUUAUGUAAAUUCUUUCUGACACAGGGUUCUUUGGUUUCUUCUGCCCCUUCCUUGCUAAUGUAAAUAUGACUAGGAAGAACAAAUAUGCUUUUGCUUCCCGUGGCUAAUCGCUGGGCUUGCUUUGCCCUAGAGAAUUCCUAAGUUUUUUUUAAUCAUAGCUCUAAUGCUACUUUACAUGCAGUGCCACAGAAUAUGAUAUUUCAGGCCCACUUGUCUCAGUGAGUAUUGAACAAGCAGAGCAUUGACCAAGUCUUGACAGGUUCUUGGCAGUGCUGGGUUUGCAGUUGGACUUGAUGGUGUUAAGGGUCUUUUCCAACUUAAAGGAUCCUGUGAUUCUAGGCAGUCACACCUGGCAUUUGGAUGUUCACAUACUUCUGGGUCUAAUAACAUGUUUGUAGGGAUGGAGCUGUAGAUGGGAAGGUGACAGUGAGGGAGAAGAUAAGCUGUCCUGCAGCAGACAACACAAGGGAUGUGUCUGAAGGGGGUUUUAGGAUGUCCCACAGGGUUGGUGUCGGUUCAAAGCAGGUGCUGGUUUUGCAGCUUUAGUAUGUGCUUUUUUUGUGAAGGAAAUUCAAAGGUCUUUGAAAAUACAGUCCCUGUUUCAGACGUUAAAACAAACUGUUCGAGUCAUCUGAGAAACAAACCUCAGGACAGAAGCCUUUAAGAGGGAAAUAGGUGUCUUCAAGAGGAAUUGGUUUGUCAUCUUGUUCCCCAGCUCAUGCAGCUGCUGUCACUGGCACAGGCAGCAUUUUGAAGUCAAAGGGGGGUAGCUCUGAGUGAUGUGAUGCAUGGUGAUGUGAUGGCAGAAGUUUCUAAUUAUGCUGGUGUGCCAUUGCUUCUCUGCCCCAUUGUUUAGACACACCCAGUACAUACCCUGUGAAGGAGAAACUGGAUCUCCUUGGAGCAAGCUUCUAUAUAGGAGCUGAAGGAUUUUAGUAACCUGGAAGAGGAACUUCUCAGCAAGUUGUCAGGUUCUGCCUUAGAAUUGCAUUUACAAUAUUGUUACACCUAAAUCACACUGUGGUUUACUUCUGAUCAUGGCAGUGAAGUGGCAUGAGAGUUCUGUGAGGUGCUACUCAGGAGCAGAUCGUUUUUGAAGUAGUUGUAAAUUUAGUCAUGCAAGUUAGCCGAAAUUUCGAUUCAAGUGAAAAAAAAAUCUGUUUUGAAGGAGAUAAGCCUGAUUUAAGGGAGGUUUUAGCAUGCAGGAAAAAACAAUUAUAUGCUGUAGUUUGUGAGAGACUUCCAGGAGAUUGCCUAGAACAAACUGAAAUAGAGCAGGAGCCAACUGUCAAAACACAACAAACAGGAGAGGAAAAAAAAGAUGAAUAUAUUCACCUGAUGCCAGUGUUAGAACACUUUAAAGUACUCUGAAUGAAGGAGAUCUUGGGUAUGAAGGGACCUGUCUGUAGGGGUGAGUGGUGCAGGGUAAUCCCCAGCAAAGCCUUGAGCAGGAUGGAAAGACAAAUAGAAUUUUAUUGAAUCAUUCUGCUUGCAGAGCACAGUGCAGGCUCUGUGUUGUGAUUCCUGUGCUCCAAAUGAAGGUCUGCUCUGUGCUCAGUUCUGAAAGAGUUUCUUAUGUAGGACUUCAAUUUCCCACUUCCAUUUGAAUUAGUUGGUAGGGGAAAAAAGGUAUCCUUUGCUCGAGGUUGUUUUAUAAUGUCCAUUUUAUCAAGUCACUCCAGAAAGACAAAGCUGAGAAGUGUAAGUAAAUUUUUAAAUGAAAAAUUGUAUCUUGAGCACUCUUGGUUGUGUCUGCCAGCUCAGCUGUGUUGUACUCUACAGCUCACUUCUGAAAAGAAAGACUAACAGUCUUGGCAGAAAUUACAUAGUUAUAAAUUCAAAUUAUUAAGUAAUUUGAGGAAUAUAAAGACCUUGUUACAGCUGUAGCUUUGCCAUAUGGUCACAGCACUGGGAGACGUUCAAGCUUAAGGUUUACUGCAAAUUAAUUUUACAAACCUUGAGCAAGUUAUUAGUCUCCAUGUUCAUGGAGGGAACUCAUCCAGCUAUUCUGCUGAUUAAUAAGAUUAUAUAGUUAAAAAUACCCUUAAUGCUAAUAAAUUACAGUGUUUCAGAUUCCCAUCACAGUUGAAUAGCCUGGUUCUGUUAUCUUUUUCUAUUUCAGCCUGACUGACUAAAAGACUUCUUUUCAUGCAUAAAAAGACAAGAAUGAAUUGUGGUGACAGUCUGAAGAAAUUUCCUACAUAUUAGUGUCCAGGAAAUUCCUGCAUUGAUUCCAUCAGUCUGUGGUGUUGGUUAAGGAAUUCUCACUCUCCUGUGCUCCUCCUUUGUGUUCCAUUCAUUUGCUUAGAGCAGACACUUCUGCACUGCUGUAGUAACCCUGUAGUAAGACUAAAGACAUGUUCCAUGCAGGGUCAGGUUUGGGGGUUUGUUGUUUGUGUAGAAACACAUUUGAUGUGACAACCCCAUAGUGCUCAUUUUAGUUCAAAAGCUUGAAAAACAAUAGAUUUAUUCUUCCUAUAGAUUUGGGUGGGUUUUCUUUAGGGUUUAUUUCCUGAAACUAAUUCAGGAAUGUACAACUAAAAUAGAAUGGGCAUUAUAAAUUUCAACCUUUCAGUACUGGUUGUCUUGUACAAUACUAAUUAGGAGCUCCAGUAGUAACUGCCCUUUAGCCUGAUUUUUUUCUUUCUUUUUUUCUUUCUUUCUUUUUUUUUUUUUUUUUUUUUGAUACACAGUAAUUUUACUGAGUGCUUAGUACUGAGAAGAGGAACUAAAUAGAAAAAGAAGUCCCAGUCUGCAGUGUCCAGCAGCAUUUCUGAGCUUUAGGGCCAUUCAGGUAGACACCAGUGAUAUCCUGGCUGGAGGCCAGUGUGUAAUGGUGGAAAUCCUUUUAAGUAGUAUUCAUUUCAAGCAAGUAUUUGCUAAGCUUUUGGAAAAGUGUUGGAACAUUUUUUUUUUUUAAACUCAGAAUCAACUUGUUGCCUAAAUAAUCUUACUUUAGUAGCUAGACUUGCAGCUGUGGUAAGUUUAAGGCAAAGUGUCUUCCAUUUAGUCUGACAGAAGAGUUGAACAAACUUUAGACAGUAAAUCAUAAAGGCAAAGUUUGAAAUGCAGGGGAAGAGCUGGACUGUCACAUCCCAGGGCAUCAGUGUGUGUACAUGAUGAAUUAAAACCACUCUUGCCUUUUCAGUGCCCUUCAUUUGAAAUGGGUUAGUCAGAUUUCAGCCCCCCACGUGUCAGUGUGAGGGUGAGCAGCAUUUCAGCAGUUCAGGCUUAAAUUAGCUUUGUAGCCUGAGCAGGCAGGUUAGGAGUUGAAGUGUCUCUUCCCUUUUAGAUCACUUGAGUUGCUUCCAGCGACUCUAUACCUGUUCUUCUGUGUCAGUACAGAGUGUUGGGUUCCUUCAUUUUCAUGUCAACACCUUUUCAGUAGUCACUUAAAACAGCUGCAGAAUUUUUUUCUUUUCUUCCAUAGUAUGUCUGAAGUUUUUUAUGAAUGUUACCUGAGGUUUGUGUUAGAAUGACAGCGCCGAAAAUUGCGUCAAGUGAUGUUAGGGAGAGAAGUCACUUUGGAUUGCAGUAGUGUGGGAUACAUGGAAAUACUGAUACACUUAGUCAAGAAUUUUGCCCUGUUUUAGUUUUUAGCAUUCAAUCUGAAUUCUGUGAUUUUCAUUUUUAAGAUGGUAGUUUUCGUUGUUUGUUGAAGUUGCUUUUAUUAGUGUGUAGUUCUCCUUUCCCACACUUCCUCCACUCCUCCCACCACUGGCCAGGAGCUGUCCCAGCAUGUUGCUGCCUUAGGACUCGGCUUCUCUUUUAACACCUGGACCCCCAGCCUGUAGAACUCAAGGUGACUGGACCUCACUCUUGAGUUUUGGCUGUGAAGAGCUACCAGCAACAAGAUGCUGGGUUUUUUUGUUUGAUUGGCUUUUUAAACGACCUCUCACAUUUCUGAGAUAGAGGAGAAAGGAAAAAAAGGAAAGCAGAGAGGA